GAUGAAGAUGGUGAUACGUGGAUGAUGGUCGGUGUUUGAUGAUGAUAAUGUGAUGAUUGAUGACCGUUGAUUGACGGUGUUGAUGAUGGUGGCUGGUGAACAGCGCAACGAAGGAGUUACGAAGAGGAAUGAAGGGGUUUGAUACUCUGAUUUAUUUUUGGGUGUUAAAGUUCCGAAAAAGUUGAAGUGUGAUGGGUGUUUUGGUCCCUUUUGUUUUUUUUCUUUUAUUCUCUCAUUUUCUAAUCUCCUUUUUUUCUUUCAAUCAGUCUUGCCACAACUGGUGCACGUUAACAUUUACGUACACCAAAGAUCCACACGUGCCAACUUCACGUAUAUGGUAAUAUGACAAGAGGAGAGAGAAAGGAACACCCAAAAAAACCACAAUCGAGUUCUCUGCUAUCUCCUCUUCUCUUCAAUUGCUAUCAUGAAUCUCUUCUCUUUAAUGGUGAUCCAUCAAUCUCCUCUCUACAAUUGCGAUCAUCAAUCUCCUCUCUACAAUUGCGAUCAUCGUUCUCUUCUUUCAAUUGCAAUCAACUCUUCAUUCUUCUCUUCAGUGAAUAAUUUCUCUGCAAUUAAUUUGAACUACACCAUUGAAGACCUAUAUUGGAAACUCGACCGAUUUGUUGGAGACUUGGAGGAAGCCUAAAUUCAGAAAUUCAACGAAUUAAUCCUUCAAAGUUAUCGAAGACGAUCCUCCUCAUCCUUCGAAUUACUCUAAUGGUGAAGUGGAUUCUAUUACAGAGCACGAAGAAGCCUGGUUUCUUUUGGAUAUCAGAGCUUCUCUUUUAACAUGUGUAAGCCUAUUAGCUCAACUGGCCGAGCACCGUGCAACUUACGAGGAGAUGUAGGUUCAAAUCCUACAUAGGCUAUUGGUUUUAUUAUGAAAAAUAAAUCGACAUUUAUUGUAACAUUUACCUAUUUUAUAGACAAUUGAUCUCACAGAUCAACAAACAUCCAUCAGAUAAUUUUUGUGGUAGAUAAAAUGUUGACUAUUGUUGUGACAGAA